ensembl:lincRNA 1700012C14Rik RIKEN cDNA 1700012C14 gene
CACGCUAACUGUGCAUCUAGUGGGUACGCAACCGGCUGGGAUGCCACCGGGGCACAACCUUGUAUUCAGGCUGAUAGCACCCGGAGGCAGGGCUUCUACCCAGCAAACCGGUUAGAGGAGAGUAAUCAGGGAGCCUUGGCAGCUGUGACUGGCGUUCUGCUUCCUGAGGCUACUCGCUUCCUUGCUUGCAUGUGGCCACAGUGGCAAGUUCCAACAGUUUCUUCAGUCAACGACCCCUCCCUCCCGACUUUGCAGUUUGAGUCACCUUCAGUUUCCUGCCUGCCUGCCCCUUCCCUGAUUGACCUGAUAAAUCCAGGACAGCUUUUAUUACUUUUGGCAAAACAUUGCCAUUAAGAUUUACGGAGCCAAAAGCUGGUACAAUGUAAUCUUCAGAGUAAUUUACACAGUGAGUUUCAAA